CAAAGCGAUGGGGUGACGCAGGAAGGUAGCUGGGCCAGUCAGUGGUUGUACUGGUGUAAGAGUGUAGGCCGUGACAUAGGCAAAUCCGUGUCACAUUAAGGCUGAGACUUGAUGCUUACCCGUUGUGGGGAAUUCAGUGAUCCUAUGCUGCCGAGAAAAGCCUCUAGUGAGUUCAUACACGGCCCGUACCCCAAACCGACACAGGUGGUCAGGUAGAGAAUACCAAGGCGAUCGAGAGAACUGUGGUUAAGGAACUCGGCAAAAUGCCCCCGUAACUUCGGGAGAAGGGGGACCAUGCCCGGUGAACAUCUUCACGGUGGAAGCUGGGUGUGGUCGCAGAGACCAGAGAGAAGCGACUGUUUACUAAAAACACAGGUCCGUGCGAAGACGUAAGUCGAUGUAUACGGACUGACGCCUGCCCGGUGCUGGAAGGUUAAGAGGACCGGUUAGCCGUAAGGCGAAGCUGAGAAUUUAAGCCCCAGUAAACGGCGGUGGUAACUAUAACCAUCCUAAGGUAGCGAAAUUCCUUGUCGGGUAAGUUCCGACCUGCACGAAUGGCGUAACGACUUCUCUGCUGUCUCGACCACAGACUCGGCGAAAUUGCACUACGAGUAAAGAUGCUCGUUACGCGCGGCAGGACGAAAAGACCCCGGGACCUUUACUAUAGCUUGGUAUUGGCGUUCGAUUCGGUUUGUGUAGGAUAGGUGGGAGACUGUGAAGCAUGCACGCCAGUGUGUGUGGAGUCGUUGUUGAAAUACCACUCUGAUCGUAUUGGACGUCUAACCUCGGCCCAUGAUCUGGGUUAGGGACAGUGCCUGGUGGGUAGUUUAACUGGGGCGGUUGCCUCCUAAAGAGUAACGGAGGCGCCCAAAGGUUCCCUCAGCCUGGAUGGCAAUCAGGUGUUGAGUGCAAGUGCACAAGGGAGCUUGACUGUGAGACUGACACGUCGAGCAGGGACGAAAGUCGGGACUAGUGAUCCGGCACCGGCAAGUGGAAGCGGUGUCGCUCAACGGAUAAAAGGUACCCCGGGGAUAACAGGCUGAUCUUCCCCAAGAGUCCAUAUCGACGGGAUGGUUUGGCACCUCGAUGUCGGCUCGUCGCAUCCUGGGGCUGGAGUAGGUCCCAAGGGUUGGGCUGUUCGCCCAUUAAAGCGGCACGCGAGCUGGGUUUAGAACGUCGUGAGACAGUUCGGUCUCUAUCGGCCGCGCGCGUAAGAAACUUGAGGAAGGCUGUCCCUAGUACGAGAGGACCGGGACGGACGAACCUCUGGUGUGCCAGUUGUUCCACCAGGAGCAUGGCUGGUUAGCUACGUUCGGAAGGGAUAACCGCUGAAAGCAUCUAAGCGGGAAGCCUGUUCCAAGAUGAGGUUUCUCACCACCUUGCGUGGUUAAGGCCCCCUACAGACCAUGGGGUUGAUAGGCCGGAACUGGAAGCGCAGCAAUGCGUGGAGGUGACCGGUACUAAUAGGCCGAGGGCUUAC
rnacentral:rRNA from 1 species